rnacentral:lncRNA from 1 species
GGCAAUUAAGCUAUAAAACUGAAGACAAUUCACAAUCACAAAGGGGGAAUUCCGCAGAGGAAAAAAUAAAACACUAUGUUUUGAUGGAGUUCAUCAUCGUUCAUGACAAAAAGUAGAGCCUAGUAAUAUGGUGAGGCCUCACGGGGAUCCCUACAACAAGAAAAAUGAACUAACGAAUGAGCAGUAACAACACUAAUUGGACACAAACAGGGGCGGCGCCACCGUAUGGGCUGGUAUGGGCGGCCGCCCCGGGUAGCCGGAAUGUGUGUCCUUAAAACCCCCGCCAGUCUUGCCUCCUAGCAUACAGUGUUACAGGCCUGCACAAUGAACCGACUCGGGUGACUUGAAAUCCUAGAUCCGCCAUUGGAAACAAAUAACUUUCUUUUGGAACUGAAUAUUGGUAUCUACAUGAGAUCAAAGAAACAGUAAAAGAACUUGCCAAGAAAAUUAACAUCUACCAAAGUCCCAAAAUGCAAGUUGAAGAAAAAUUGCAAGUGGCUUGAUGCCAAGGUUGUAUCCAUGCUGGCGUUAGGAACACUAACGGGUAUAUGCACUGCAACACAAGAGUAUAAAUCACCAAUACUAAGAGAAAGCAUGCUAUGAGCAAUUUCCACAAAGUAGUACUGAAAGAAAAGAAACAAUAUGGAGAAAGAUUUGACCUUUUCGUAACAGCUGCCAACACCAUCCUGCUGCCACGCUGCCGCCUACCACCCCGCCAUCCGCAUCGUGAUGCUACUGCCUCUCCUCUGCACACCAUGCAACCAACUCGCUUGAAUCAACACAGGAACACAAAACCCCAAGUGAAAUCAAUAACACAAUCUUAACUAUAAAAAGCUCGUCAUAUUCAGGCUUGAGCUCACCUCGUGAACAGACACAUCACUGCAAAUCUACAAUUUAUCAGCUCCUUCUUAUGCAUUCAGACAACUAGUGGGCAAUAAAAAACUGUUUACCAAUGAACAUGUGUUGACGUGUUGUAGAAAUUAGAGUCUGAGGGCUGAAACACAGAAUCAGACUCUGCCUCAGAGGCUUUUUCUACCAGGUUAUCACUUGAGACAUGCCCUUUCACACC